AGUCAGUCACAGACAGACAUGACAUUAACGUCGUAACUUUCAUAAGUUACUUAAAAAGUUUAACAGCAGAGAUCGGGUAAUUUCAGCUGAAGUUUUCAUGUACCUGGCCAACUAGGUGCUCGUGACAAUAGAAAUGAAAUGGUCUAAUCCAAUAACAUUUGCAUGCCCACAACAUUAAGUCUUCUGAAGCAAAAUAAUUUCUGUUGCAAGAUAGUUAUUUUACCAAAAUUAUUUUUAUUUGCUGUGUUCUUUAAGGCAAUAAUGUUCACAUUAAUUUUUCCCUUUCAAGUUGUAAAUUUUCAAGAUAUUGAUGCCUUCGCCAGAUCCCAUUCUUUGUUGCUAUCAGUUUUGCAGACAACAGCAAGAAAAUGCUGCUACUCAAGAUUUUAUGGUGACCAACACUUUGUUCUAAUUUAGGACAAUGUAAGAUUGAUUGAUUUGAGGGUUAUCCCUCUUUGCCACUGUUAUAGUUGUUUGGAAACCGACAAGAGAUUGCUGGAAUUGAAGACUGAUAAUUUGUGUAGAUUUAGAUAAAUUAAAAGUGCAUACCUGGGCUCCCUUCUUUUCUGUGGCCCCGUUUCCCUAACUAACCACUAACCAACGCCCGCCGGUGGUCACUCACCCGCUGUGAUAACCAAGAGGAGGGGAGGGCUCUGGUCGAACGGUGACUUGGAAGGGCGCAUGAUCUUAUGAAAGCUUUUGGAGGGUCAUGAGCCUAACCCGGAAGCCUACUAUGACUAUAUCUCUCCAGUCAAACUGGCCUCGUACUACUCUCUUCUUCACUGGCCAGGUAAUCUCCCUGGGCACAGUUAGGGCAGUGUCACCUUCUGUCGUGAUUGAUUGCACUUCCAAGUUGGCAAAGUAUAGCGAUUUACAUUUACGGACAGUGAUUAUUUCAUGCUCGCUGGACAUUCAAGAAAUUGCAAUCAUCUAUUGUCAUACAAUUUUCUAGAUAUUGUACCUACGUAGUGCUGGGAGUGAUGGACAAUUUGAAAAUAUUUCUUAAACGUUUGCAUUCCAUUGUUUUUUAUGCUGGUAUAAAUUACAAAUUUUACAACAUUAUUUU
rnacentral:lncRNA from 1 species